AAUCAACGCUGGCGGCGUGCCUCAGACAUGCAAGUCGAACGAUUAAAGCUCCCUUCGGGGAGUGCAUAAAGUGGCGCACGGGUGAGUAACACGUAAGUAAUCUACCCUCGGGUGGGGAAUAACAUCGGGAAACCGAUGCUAAUACCGCAUAAUGCAGCGGCACCGCAAGGUGACAGUUGUUAAAGAUUUAUUGCCUGGGGAGGAGCUUGCGGCAGAUUAGCUAGNGGUAAGGUAACGGCUUACCAAGGCUACGAUCUGUAUCCGGUCUAAGAGGACGGUCGGACACACUGACACUGAAUAACGGGUCAGACUCCUACGGGAGGCAGCAGUCGGGAAUUUUGGGCAAUGGGGGAAACCCUGACCCAGCAACGCCGCGUGAAGGAUGAAGUAUUUCGGUAUGUAAACUACGAAAGAAUAGGAAGAAUUAAUGACGGUACUAUUUAUAAGGUCCGGCUAACUACGUGCCAGCAGCC
rnacentral:rRNA from 1 species